AUANAAUAAUAAUAAUAAUAAUAAUAAUAAUAAUAAUAAUAGGUCCAGAGCCUCUAUAAUCUAUAUCUGGUCUCCAUGGCGACGGCGAGUCGCAUUGUUUACACCGGCGACCAGAUGAUCGCCCUGAGGUACCCGAGCAUCCUGACUGGAGAGAGAGCCUCCAUACCGGAGGAGCUGAGGAGGAGACGGUGAGGCUGCAGAGCGGGGGUUAAACGGAGGAUGAAGAAGAGGAGCUUUAAACUCUACAUCCCUGCAAUCAUCGAGCAGAUACCGGACUCCAUCGUCACCAUUCCCGGCUUCCAGACGGUUCGAGCCGACAGGGACACCACCGGGACCGGCAUGGAGAAAGGAGGGGGACUGUCCGUGCUCAUCAACAACAGGUGGUGUAACACCGGGCACUCUGUGUGGAAGAGAGUCUGCAGCCCGGACAUCGUCCGUGUUAUCUGCCACACUGUCUAUAUUCCUCACAGUGGUCUUCAUCAUCAUCACUGUCUAUAUUCCUCACAGUGGUCUUCAUCAUCAUCAUCAUCAUCAUCACUGUCUAUAUUCCUCACAGUGGUCUUCAUCAUCAUCACUGUCUAUAUUCCUCACAGUGGUCUUCAUCAUCAUCAUCAUUCAUCACUGUCUAUGUUCCUCACAGUGGUCUUCAUCAUCAUCAUCAUCAUCACUGUCUAUAUUCCUCACAGUGGUCUUCAUCAUCACCAUCUAUAUUCCUCACAGUGGUCUUCAUCAUCACUGUCUAUAUUCCUCACAGUGGUCUUCAUCAUCAUCAUCAUCAUCACUGUCUAUGUUCCUCACAGUGGUCUUCAUCAUCAUCAUCAUCAUCACUGUCUAUAUUCCUCACAGUGGUCUUCAUCAUCAUCAUCAUCAUCACUGUCUAUAUUCCUCACAGUGGUCUUCAUCAUCACUGUCUAUAUUCCUCACAGUGGUCUUCAUCAUCACUGUCUAUGUUCCUCACAGUGGUCUUCAUCAUCAUCAUCACUGUUUACAUUUAUGAUGUCAUAUUUAUUCUCCUGUACAGCACUUUGGUUGUUUUUAAAGUGUUUAACAGAUAAAGUUGGAUUGGAUAAUAGGUGGCGGUACUGAGGAGUUGUUACUACACUUAAACGAAAGUAGAAGAAGAGCAAUCAUCAACCUGCUCCCGGUACCACCGAAGAAGAACAGAUCCAGGAAGUGCCGCUAGGACCAACCGGAGGUAAGAGCCGCUCACUGUUACCGGAUAAUGAGGCCUUUCUGUCGGUGUGCUCUGUCGGUCUGUCACCGGGGCUGUCAGGGCUCCGCGGUGAGUUACCGGCGGUCACAUCCGUCCGUUCAGCGGACAGCAUCCGCUCCGGUUCCGCCGCUCCGGUUCCGCCGCUCCUGGAAGGUCAAGCUAAAGUUAGCAGCUAGCUUACGCACUUCUUUCGGUUUCACCAUGCGGACCCCGACGGGUCCCGGACCGGGGCCCAGAACCAGGACCCGCAGUCUGUAGUGAAGCGUGAAGCGUCGUUAAGUUCCAGGUCCAGUACCGGAUCCGCUGUGUGUCGUCAUCAGUCAGUGAGCGGAGCCUCCUGCCAGACUCCUUCAGAAAAACCCUCAACCCGGUCUGUACCGGUCCACCUGGACCCGGUCUGUACCGGUCCACCAGGGCCCGGUCUGUGCCGGUCCACCUGGACCCGGUGGGGAGUUCGGCUGGUCGGAGGUUUGUACCGGUCCACCAGGACCCGGUCUGUACCGGUCCACCAGGGCCCGGUCUGUGCCGGUCCACCAGGACCCGGUGGGGAGUUCGGUUGGACCCGGUAGUGAGUCCGGCUGGUCGGAGGUCUGUACCAGUCCACCAGGACCCGGUCUGUACCGGUCCACCUGGACCCGGUCUGUACCUCUGUACCGGUCCACCUGGACCCGGUCCACCUGGACCCGGUCUGUGCCGGUCCACCAGGACCCGGUCUGUAGCCGGUCCACCAGGGCCCGGGCCCGGUCUGUACCGGUCCACCUGGACCCGGUCUGUACCGGUCCACCUGUUCCUUCAACACAUGGAUCGGGAUCAAUAUCAGCUCUUUAUCCUAUAUCUUUAUUAUUACCCUUCAGAGCACACUGCUAUUAUUCCUCACAUUAUAUUUUAUUCUUCGGUUCUGGUCGCUCAAACACAAAAGGUACCAGAAGGUUCGGCUCGGUGACUGCCGAUAAAUGAAUGUGUGUGUAUUGGUAGAACGCCUGGCAGUGAGAGUGAGAGGAAAUAAAUGUGUAAACUGCUGUCAAGGUGUCACUGUACAGAAAUAAGGUACAGAUAGAAACGCAGGUACAUCCGUUGGGGUCGCAGUCACCGCUGAAGCUGUCUAAUAGUUUUGGCGGGAAACGCACUGAUGCGCCAGCAGCACCUUCUCACGGCCCCAUCUACUCCUAUGUUAAUUGGAGAGGAGAAAUUUUGAAGGGAGCUCCUUCUUCAAUCUCCCGAGGUCACAUCUUUUGACUUUAGCCACUGAAACUCGGCAGUCCUAUAGUCAACAAGAUGACGACGCUCACGGUCUCUUCGGUUUUAAUCUCGGUCGUUCCUGGCCACGGGUUCGAGGGGAUUCAUUUUGAGAUUUUCUGUCUCUCUCAGGAAGUAGAGACUUAACUGCUGUGGCCUCCCCUGGUUGCCACGACAACCAAACCCUGCCUCUCACAAGCCUGACUGUGAACACACACACACACACACACACACACACACACACACACACACACACACACACACACACACACACACACACAGAUAGAGAGGAUGACUGUACCAGAGAACGUCUAAUAAGGAGAACUUCCACUCUCAGUAAACUUCCGGGUUCUGAACUGUUGCAGUUCCCCUCUGGCUCCACAUGAGGGCGCUCACAGGAUGAGAGCAGAAUGAAUGGAGCUCUAUGGAGCGAUACCCUCACAGUCCUCUUCUCUCAGGAUAUCAGUGUUUGUCUAGUAAUGACACAUUGCUGGAUUCGAAAGGGGACGCAAAGAAAUGACACAUUGCUGGGUGUACUCAAGUGGGAUCACAGACGUAACGAUAAUCAGUCCUUCACUGACCAAUCAGCGUUCAUUAGCAGAAUGCUAGCGCGUUAUGGGCAACAACAACUCGUCCUGUAAGAAAUCUAAAGGACAUCAGAACUCGUUCAUUCAGCUUUCGACCUAUAACCCAUGUUGAACUUUAAAAACUACAAUCACAUCUGAGAUCUCUCAACCACAAUCAGCUCCAUCAGCUCCCAUUCAUUCUGCACUGCUGGGAGAGCGCCCCCAGUGGACCUCUGCUGGAACUGCAACCAGUGUUCAGUACAAUGGGACUUAAAGGCCAGGCUCUCUGGAGACGGGCUCUGACAGAGUAUUAAUAUACGGGCCAGAGACAGGCACCCUCAACAUUUAUUAUUAUUAUUAUUAUUAUUGUUAUUAUUAUUAUUAUUGUUGUUGUUAUUAUUAUUAUUAUUAUUAUUAUUGUUAUUGUUGUUGUUAUUGUUGUUAUUUAUAAACAUCUUUACUGUGGAUUAAAUGUUCAACACUUUUAAUAAAGAGAAUGUCUGCAGCUCUGCCUGUACCUGCUGUGACCUUUGACCCGGACCUUGUUCUCGUCUGCAGCUCUGCCUGUACCUGCUGUGACCUUUGACCCCGACCAUGGUGCUGAGGGAGGUUCCCGCCGAGAACAUCGCCCGUCCUCUGGGCAGGAACGAGGUCAUCGGCCUGCUCUUCCGUCUCACCAUAUUUGGCGCCGUCACCUACUUCACCAUCAAGUGGAUGGUGGACGCCAUCGACCCCACCAGGAAGCAGAAGGUGGAGGCUCAGAAACAGGUGAGACAGGGAGGGGGCGGGGCUUAAAGACAGGUGGAGAGAUCAUGUGACCCAAGGCUCCAGAACAGCUACUGAAUGUUGUUACUCUCUCACAGGCGGAGAAGUUGAUGCGUCAGAUUGGCGUUAAAAACGUGAAGCUGUCUGAAUACGAGAUGAGUAUCGCAGCUCAUCUGGUCGACCCGCUCAGCAUGCAGGUAACACACCUGUUCCCCAAAGGUCAAAGGUCACAGAGACCAUAAACAAAGAUCCUGACUAAGAAGUCCUAACUAGCCUCAUGCUAACUUGGCCUCAGUAGAGUAAAAUACAAACGUGUAGCCUAAAAGGUUCAUUUAGAGCCCUCCUCUUUUAUGUUGUAUUGUUAUUAUUAUUGUUAUUGUUAUUGUUAUUAUUAUUGUUAUUGUUAUUGUUAUUAUUAUUGUUAUUGUUAUUGUUCAAGGGAAACAAUAGAAAGAAACAGCACACAGCACAAACAAACUAGAAGAGUAAAAGAAAGUAACGAUACAGGAAGAAAGAAAAGACAGAUGAGGAAACUAUAGAACUAUUAUAAUCAAUGACUUAUGUGACACUCGCACUCACACACACACACACACACAAACACACACACACACACACAUAUAUAUAAAGCCCGAAAUUAUUCAUACCUCUGGCAAAUUUUGACUUAAAGUUACUUUUUUUUCAACCAGCAACUGUUUUCUUGAUUGGAAAUGACACAGGCGUCUCCCAGAAGAUAAUAAGACGAUGUACAAGAGGCAUCAUUGUGGAAAACAUUAUUUCUCAGCUUUUAUUUACAUUUGAACAAAAAGUGGCAUGUCCUAAAUUAUUCAU
rnacentral:lncRNA from 15 species